UCGAACGGCAGCGCGGGGCAACCUGGCGGCGAGUGGCGAACGGGUGAGUAAUAUAUCGGAACGUGCCCUGGAGUGGGGGAUAACGCAGCGAAAGUUGCGCUAAUACCGCAUACGAUCUAAGGAUGAAAGCGGGGGAUUCGCAAGAACCUCGUGCUCCUGGAGCGGCCGAUAUCUGAUUAGCUAGUUGGUGGGGUAAAGGCCUACCAAGGCAUCGAUCAGUAGCUGGUCUGAGAGGACGACCAGCCACACUGGAACUGAGACACGGUCCAGACUCCUACGGGAGGCAGCAGUGGGGAAUUUUGGACAAUGGGCGAAAGCCUGAUCCAGCAAUGCCGCGUGAGUGAAGAAGGCCUUCGGGUUGUAAAGCUCUUUUGUCAGGGAAGAAACGGUGAAGGCUAAUAUCCUUUGCUAAUGACGGUACCUGAAGAAUAAGCACCGGCUAACUACGUGCCAGCAGCCGCGGUAAUACGUAGGGUGCAAGCGUUAAUCGGAAUUACUGGGCGUAAAGCGUGCGCAGGCGGUUUUGUAAGUCUGUCGUGAAAUCCCCGGGCUCAACCUGGGAAUUGCGAUGGAGACUGCAAGGCUAGAAUCUGGCAGAGGGGGGUAGAAUUCCACGUGUAGCAGUGAAAUGCGUAGAGAUGUGGAGGAACACCGAUGGCGAAGGCAGCCCCCUGGGUCAAGAUUGACGCUCAUGCACGAAAGCGUGGGGAGCAAACAGGAUUAGAUACCCUGGUAGUCCACGCCCUAAACGAUGUCUACUAGUUGUCGGGUUUUAAUUAACUUGGUAACGCAGCUAACGCGUGAAGUAGACCGCCUGGGGAGUACGGUCGCAAGAUUAAAACUCAAAGGAAUUGACGGGGACCCGCACAAGCGGUGGAUGAUGUGGAUUAAUUCGAUGCAACGCGAAAAACCUUACCUACCCUUGACNUGUANGGAAGCCACGAGANAUCGANNUGUGCUCGAAAGANAGCCGUANC
rnacentral:rRNA from 1 species